rnacentral:rRNA from 1 species
GACGAACGCUGGCGGCGUGCUUAACACAUGCAAGUCGAACGGAAAGGCCCUGCUUUUGUGGGGUGCUCGAGUGGCGAACGGGUGAGUAACACGUGAGUAACCUGCCCUGUACUUUGUGAUAACUUCAGGAAACUGGUGCUAAUACCGGAUAGGAGCUCCUGCUGCAUGGUGGGGGUUGGAAAGUUUCGGCGGUUGGGGAUGGACUCGCGGCUUAUGAGCUUGUUGGUGGGGUAGUGGCUUACCAGGGCUUCGACGGGUAGCCGGCAUGAGAGGGUGACCGGCCACAUUGGGACUGAGAUACGGAGCAGAGUCCUACGGGAGGCAGCAGUGGGAAAUAUGGCACAGUGGGGGGAAGCCUGAUGCAGCAACGCCGCGUGCGGGAUGACGGCCUUCGGGUUGUAAACCGCUUUCGCCUGUGACGAAGCGUGAGUGACGGUAAUGGGUAAAGAAGCACCGGCUAACUACGUG